rnacentral:rRNA from 1 species
GACGAACGCUGGCGGCGUGCUUAACACAUGCAAGUCGAACGGAAAGGCCCUGCUUUUGUGGGGUGCUCGAGUGGCGAACGGGUGAGUAACACGUGAGUAACCUGCCCUUGACUUUGGGAUAACUUCAGGAAACUGGGGCUAAUACCGGAUAGGAGCUCCUGCUGCAUGGUGGGGGUUGGAAAGUUUCGGCGGUUGGGGAUGGACUCGCGGCUUAUCAGCUUGUUUGUGUGGUAGUGGCUUACCAAGGCUUUGACGGGUAGCCGGCCUGAGAGGGUGACCGGCCACAUUGGGACUGAGAUACGGCCCAGACUCCUACGGGAGGCAGCAGUGGGGAAUAUUGCACAGUGAGCGGAAGCCUGAUGCAGCAACGCCGCGUGCGGGAUGACGGCCUUCGGGUUGUAAACCGCUUUCGCCUGUGACGAAGCGUGAGUGACGGUAAUGGGUAAAGAAGCACCGGCUAACUACGUG